UACGGGGGGGGUAAGCGUUGUUCGGAAUUACUGGGCGUAAAGGGCUCGUAGGCGGCCAACUAAGUCAUACGUGAAAUCCCUCAGCUUAACUGGGGAACUGCGUGUGAUACUGGAUGGCUUGGAUUUGGGAGAGGGAUGCGGAAUUCCAGGUGUAGCGGUGAAAUGCGCAGAUAUCAGGAAGAACACCCGUGGCGAAGGCGGCUUUCUGGGACGGUACUGACGCUGAGACGCGAAAGCGUGGGGAGCGAACAGG
rnacentral:rRNA from 1 species